UAUAUAUAUAUAUAUAUAUAUUGUCGCGACGGGCAGAGAUCCGGCGCACACCAGAGGGAAAACGCUCCUUCUCCGACUGCCGCACCGGCACGACGUGGGCAGCUUCCUGCCGAACAUUCCGCCAGCUGGAAGGACCGCCGCGGCAGGGCGGGGCUGACGCGACUCCGGCCCGCGAUUGGCGGAUCCAACGGGGAAGUCCCACCACUCAGGCGACGACGGAGGAGGAUAAAAGAGCGCGCUUCCGGCCGGGAAGCGGAAGAGAAUAUCGUGGCGUCAAAACGGACUCCGAGUCGUAAGCGCGGACGAGACCGCCGGAUAGUGAGAGUCGCACACACGGAGGACGCCGGCCCGGGAAAACCCCCGCCCCGCCUCGGGAAUCCCGCCUCCGCCACGAGUCGACUCCGCCGGCCGUCACGCCUUCACAAACCCCCGCACUCUUCCAUUUAUCACACGUUCACCUCACCCUAGCCACAAUAAAGCACCGUCUGCAACCA